UCAAGGCCUCCAACUGCCCACACAGCUGCCCUUGGUCCACAUUACCUUGUGUGAUACGAUAGCCAGCUGCCUCCAGGGGAAAAUCUCUCUCCAGAUCAGUUACCCACACACUUCUCUGAGGAAAGCAUUGGAAGGAGGCCAUGGAACUCAACUCAUGUCCGUGGUGGUUUGAAUAAUGCUUGGCCCAUGGGAAGGGACACUAUUAGGAGGUGUGGCCUUAUUGGGGGUGUAUACCCUUGUUAGAGGAAGUACGUCACUGUGGAGGCGGGGCUUUGAGAAGACCCUAGUUAGCAGAAGUAUGUCACUGUGGAGGCGGGGCUUUAAGAAGGUGUACCCUAGUUAGCGGAAGUGUGCCACUGUGGAGGCGGGGCUUUGAGGUCUCAUAUAUAUGCUUAAGUCUAGCCAGUGUGAUCCAGUCUUCUGGUUCUCUUCAGAAGGUAGAACUCUCAGCUCCUUCUCCAGCAUUAUGCUUGUCGGGACACCACCAUGUAUCUUGCCUUGCUGAUAAUGGACUGAAUCUCUGAACCUAGAGAAACGUACCAAAGGACUUCUGGUGGUGUUCAGGAAAGAACAGACUUGGGCCGACUGGCCGAGCCUUGCAUUUCUUCUGGAAAUCUUCUGCUGAUUCACGAAUGGUGUUUGCGAGUGGAUCAAGCUACUGCUGUUGAUUCGUGUGAACUAAACUGCUGAUAUCCUGACAACGCAGACUGGAUUUUCUCCAAAGAACUAUUUCUAAACAGGUCUAGGACCAGGAAGAUGGCUGACUGGCCAUGUGAAAGCACUCGUCAUGCAACCAUGAAAACUGAGUUCAACCCAUGGGACCCAUGGUGGAGGAGAGAACUGACUCUUGAAGUUAAAUUGUUCUCCGAUUGUCACCUGUGUGCCAUGGUAACGAGCCCUGGGUUCCCAGUACUCACAUGUGGGCUCAACCAUCUGACACUCCAGUUCCAGGGCAUCCAAUGCCCUCUUCUGGCCUCUGGGGGCACCAGGUAUCCAGACACACAUGCAGGCAAAAUUCCACACAGCAAAUAAAAAUAAGUCCUUAAAAGGCUUAGUUAUGGGCUGGCGAGAUGGCUCAGUGGUUAAGAGCACUGACUGUUCUUCCGAAGGUCCCGAGUUCAAAUCCCAGCAACCACAUGGUGGCUCACAACCAUCUGUAACGAAAUCUGAUGCCCUCUUCUGGAGUAUCUGAGGACAGCUACAGUGUACUUAUAUAUAAUAAAUAAAUAAAUCUAAAAAAAAAAAGGCUUAGUUAUCAUACUUUCCCCAAUCUGUGUUCAGUUGCCCGCCCUCGGUUCU